CCCUUAGAUGUUCUGGGCUGCACGCGCGCUACACUGAUACUUUCAGCGAGUCCACCACCUUGCCUGAGAGGGUGGGGUAACCUCUGGAAAGUGUAUCGUGAUGGGGAUAGAUUAUUGCAAUUAUUAAUCUUCAACGAGGAAUGCCUAGUAAGCGCAAGUCAUCAGCUUGCGUUGAUUACGUCCCUGCCCUUUGUACACACCGCCCGUCGCUCCUACCGAUUGAAUGGUCCGGUGAAGCGUUCGGACCGUGGCCUUUGGACGGUUCGCCGUCUGUUGGCUGCGGGAAGUUCGUUAAACCUUAUCAUUUAGAGGAAGGAGAAGUCGUAACA
rnacentral:rRNA from 1 species